UACGGGGGGGGCAAGCGUUGUUCGGAAUUACUGGGCGUAAAGGGCUCGUAGGCGGCCAACUAAGUCAGACGUGAAAUCCCUCGGCUUAACCGGGGAACUGCAUCUGAUACUGGAUGGCUUGAGUUCGGGAGAGGGAUGUGGAAUUCCAGGUGUAGCGGUGAAAUGCGUAGAUAUCUGGAGGAACACCGGUGGCGAAGGCGGCAUCCUGGACCGACACUGACGCUGAUGAGCGAAAGCCAGGGGAGCAAACGGG
rnacentral:rRNA from 1 species